rnacentral:misc_RNA from 1 species
AACCAUAGAAACCUGCGGAGUACCUGCGGAAGGAUCAUUACAUUCAGUAGCCUAGCUACUUGUUUACACCCUUGUUUUUUUGCGCACUUCAUUGUAUCCCUCGGCGGGCUUGCUCGCCGGUUGGACAACAUUUAUAACCUUUUUUAAUCUUCAAUCAGCGUCUGAAUUAUAUUUAAUAAUUACAACUUUCAACAAUGGAUCU